CACAAAUUUCAUCAAUGAAGGACAAUGAUAAUGUAUUUAGUGAGGUACUGUUCAGAUAUACUGUAGAGCACUAAUUAUGAAAGUCCAUUUCCAUUCACCUGAGCCUCGGAAGUGAUUACAAACCCCACCAUUAAUACCCACCAUUAGACAGUAUCAAAAAAAUGCUGCAAAAGGAGUUUGUAUGUGCAGUACAUGGAACAGGUAAGUCAAAAAUUAUAGCAAGAAAACGAGGGCUCAGGUCAACGUUAAUGGAUUAUCAUUGACAGUGCCAUAUCAUUAGCUAAUAAGCUACUGGAUAGUAGGGUAAGUGUUUAAUUUUUUGUAAUUUCCGUUUUCUUGUUCUUUCUAUCAAAUCUCUUUCCUUUCAUGAAAUUCUCUGUUAUUAGCUUCACCCACACUUUGCACAGGCAAGGACUAGGUAUAUACUAGUGUUGUUUGGUGUGUCAUUUGAUUAUUUUAUUGAUCUUAUUUAUGAUGAUUAUUUAAAGAAAGAGAAUUAUAAUAUUUGUUAUCAGGAGAAUAUUCACAGUUGUCUGUUAUUUGCCGUUUUGAUCAAUCAUUCUCUAUUAUC